GAUGAACGCUGGCGGCGUGCCUAAUACAUGCAAGUCGAGCGAAUGGAUUAAGAGCUUGCUCUUAUGAAGUUAGCGGCGGACGGGUGAGUAACACGUGGGUAACCUGCCCAUAAGACUGGGAUAACUCCGGGAAACCGGGGCUAAUACCGGAUAACAUUUUGAACCGCAUGGUUCGAAAUUGAAGGGCGGCUUCGGCUGUCACUUAUGGAUGGACCCGCGUCGCAUUAGCUAGUUGGUGAGGUAACGGGACACCAAGGCAACGAUGCGUAGCCGGCCUGAGAGGGUGAUCGGACACACUGGGACUGAGAAACGGCCCAGACUCCUACGGGAGGCAGCAGUAGGGAAUCUGCCGCAAUGGACGAAAGUCUGACGGAGCAACGCCGCGUGAGUGAUGAAGGCUUUCGGGUCGUAAAACUCUGUUGUUAGGGAAGAACAAGUGCUAGUUGAAUAAGCUGGCACCUUGACGGUACCUAACCAGAAAGCCACGGCUAACUACGUGCCAGCCGCCGCGGUAA
rnacentral:rRNA from 1 species